CACCAAUUUAAAAUAACAGCAGUUACACCACUCUGUGAUUCAGUCAAAGCCUGUUAACUUUUGACUGAAAUAGUAAUUACAUUGUCAUUGCUUAUUAAAAACACGUAAAUGGUCUAGUUUAUCUUUGGAUUAUUGUCAGGUCUUUGAAACAUAAGUCAAGUGUUUACUUGCCGGAAUGUUUAGUGAAAUGUCGAUGAUGGGUGCUGAUAUAUUGCUUGCCAAAAAAGGUUCACUCCACCAUGUACCGUGCUAUUUGUCUUGGCAUGUAUCCUGACCCCCUGGAGCAUAACCACU